GAUGAACGCUGGCGGCGUGCCUAAUACAUGCAAGUCGAGCGAACAGACGAGGAGCUUGCUCCUCUGACGUUAGCGGCGGACGGGUGAGUAACACGUGGAUAACCUACCUAUAAGACUGGGAUAACUUCGGGAAACCGGAGCUAAUACCGGAUAAUAUAUUGAACCGCAUGGUUCAAUAGUGAAAGACGGUUUUGCUGUCACUUAUAGAUGGAUCCGCGCCGCAUUAGCUAGUUGGUAAGGUAACGGCUUACCAAGGCAACGAUGCGUAGCCGACCUGAGAGGGUGAUCGGCCACACUGGAACUGAGACACGGUCCAGACUCCUACGGGGGGCAGCAGUAGGGAAUCUUCCGAAAUGGGCGAAAGCCUGACGGAGCAACGCCGCGGGAGUGAUGAAGGUCUUCGGAUCGUAAAACUCUUUUAUUAGGGAAGAAAAAAUGUGUAAGUAACUAUGCAGGUCUGGACGGUACCAAAUCAGAAAGCCACGGCUAACUACGG
rnacentral:rRNA from 1 species